UUAGUUCCUGUAAACAUCCUACACUCAGCUAUAAUAAGUGGUGGGGCUGGGGGGUGGAUGUUUACUUCAACUGACUUGGAA
rnacentral:pre_miRNA from 1 species